UGAAAGGAAAGACCGGUGCAAGCGGGACAGUAGCCAUGCAGGCAAAUCCGUGUGGCAAUACGAAGACGUGACGCGGACCGAAAUAAAGUAGGGAAGCAUGUGAGCCAUGUGCCAAGAAAAGCCGCUAUAGAUCAUACCGUACCCGUACCGUAAACCGACACAGGUAGAUGAGGAGAGAAUCCUAAGGCCGACGGGAGAAGCAUUGUUAAGGAACUCGGCAAAAUGACCCCGUAACUUCGGGAGAAGGGGUGCCCACGCGAGUGGGCCGCAGAGAAUAGGCUCAAGCAACUGUUUAGCAAAAACACAGGUCUAUGCGAAACCGAAAGGUGAGGUAUAUGGGCUGACGCCUGCCCGGUGCUGGAAGGUUAAGAGGAGGAGUCAGGCAACGAAGCUCCGAAUUUAAGCCCCAGUAAACGGCGGCCGUAACUAUAACGGUCCUAAGGUAGCGAAAUUCCUUGUCGGGUAAGUUCCGACCCGCACGAAAGGCGUAAUGAUUUGAGCACUGUCUCGACAAUGCACCCGGUGAAAUUGAAGUACCAGUGAAGAUGCUGGUUACCUGCGCCAGGACGGAAAGACCCCAUGGAGCUUUACUCCAGUUUGAUACUGGGAUUCGAUACUGAAUGUACAGGAUAGGUGGGAGGCUGAGAAGCGUGGACGCCAGUCUGCGGUGAGCCGCUGUUGGGAUACCACCCUUUGAGUAUUGGAUUUCUAACCUGCGCCCGUGACCCGGGCGGGGGACAAUGUCUGACGGGGAGUUUGACUGGGGCGGUCGCCUCCGAAAGGGUAUCGGAGGCGCUCAAAGGUUCCCUCAGAAUGGUUGGAAACCAUUCGCAGAGUGCAAAGGCAGAAGGGAGCUUGACUGUGACACCGACGGGUGGAGCAGGUACGAAAGUAGGACUUAGUGAUCCGGUGGUAUGAAAGUGGGAUUGCCAUCGCUCAACGGAUAAAAGCUACCCUGGGAUAACAGGCUUAUCAUUCCCAAGAGUUCACAUCGACGGAGUGGUUUGGCACCUCGAUGUCGGCUCAUCGCAUCCUGGGGCUGUAGCAGGUCCCAAGGGUUGGGCUGUUCGCCCAUUAAAGCGGUACGCGAGCUGGGUUCAGAACGUCGUGAGACAGUUCGGUCCCUAUCCGGCGCAGGCGUAGGAUAUUUGAGAGGAGCUGUCCUUAGUACGAGAGGACCGGGAUGGACAGACCGCCGGUGUAUCUGUUGGUGACCAACACCAUGGCAGAGUAGCCAAGUCUGGCAGGGAUAAACGCUGAAGGCAUCUAAGCGUGAAGCCCCCCUCAAGAUGAGAUAUCCCAAUAAGUAAGACCCCUUAGAGAGUAUGAGGUAGAUAGGCUUAAGGUGUAAGCAUAGUAAUAUGUUCAGCUGAUAAGUACUAAUAGGUCGAGGGCUUAUUAA
rnacentral:rRNA from 1 species